ACAUGACGUCCAUCUUGAAUUUUCCGUAUUAGUUUCGGUUUCCUCUGUAGCGAGUUAUGGCUCAUAGAAGAGGAGAAAAAAAAAUCGCUCAGGAGUUGGAGCAGAACACUUGCAGUUUUCAGAACAUUGUGGAUGUACCGUGUGUUUUGGACUAAAACGCUUUACUGGAUUAUAUUCGCUGGACCGUAACGAACGGAGUGACACCAAACACAACGUGAAUGUCGAUGUAUGGGGUCUAGAAAGUCGUCAAAAGAGGCGUCUGCCAGGAAAGAGCCAACGAGGGCCUCAUGAUGAGAGAGGGGAGUGAGAAAGGCUGGGAGCUCAGAGCGAGGUGACUCACCGAGGACAGGCGGUGAUAAGGAGUUUGAUUAGGGACACAUUCAUUAUUUAAACGUUUGUAGUGCAUGUUUACCAAAAAGCACAUUCACAUUACGUUACUGCCGGCUUGUUGCAUCGUGGCAUCUACAUCAGCGCUGCAACUAACUGGCCUGUAGGUGAAGCUGGAUGCUGUGGUGGAGUAUCAGCUAAACAUGCAGUACUGCCCAAAGCACUGCAGGCAAACAGAUUCACAGCAUGUUCACACAUACAGUAGUACAACUCUUUUUUUAAUAUAAUGCAAUGAGCUGUGUAAUUGAAAACAACACUACUUUUGUGAGAACCCAACAAAAGGGAAAAAAAACACAUUUUUAUUUAUUCAGUGUUUGUAUGAAUUAGUAAAUGACCACCGGGAGUCAUAGGUUUGACAUUGUUCUGAU
rnacentral:lncRNA from 1 species